ensembl:lncRNA
CGCAGGCAGCCCUGGAAAAGAAGAGUCCGAAAGACGUGCCCUUCUCCAAGCUUUAAAGGAGAAGAUCCAGGGCUGUUGAAGCUGCGGUGGAACUGAGACAUCAUCAUCCACAUAUCUUCAGUUCUUCUUGCUAAGAGAACGAGAAACUCGGACACAACAGUACAUCCUGACCAUUGGUACUGUGUACACAUCAACAUACACACACGUCUCCAUGCUGGACAUCUCAGGAGCUUUCACACAGUGCUAGGAAUAUCCCGGGACAGAGAAACGCACCUUCUAAGUGAGCGAGUUUAGCGUCAACCGGUGAAAUUUGCUGUAGCGUGAACACUUUGCCUCUGAAAAGAAAUGAUCUUUCGAGGCAGCUUC